CCUACGGGAGGCAGCAGUGAGGAAUAUUGGUCAAUGGGCGAGAGCCUGAACCAGCCAAGUCGCGUGAGGGAAGACGGUCCUAUGGAUUGUAAACCUCUUUUGUCGGGGAGCAAAAAGGCCUCGUGAGGCCACAAGUGAGAGUACCCGAAGAAAAAGCAUCGGCUAACUCCGUGCCAGCAGCCGCGGUAAUACGGAGGUGGCAAGCGUUAUCCGGAUUUACUGGGUGUAAAGGGCGUGUAGGCGGGACUGCAAGUCAGAUGUGAAAACCACGGGCUCAACCUGUGGCCUGCAUUUGAAACUGUAGUUCUUGAGUACUGGAGAGGCAGACGGAAUUCCUAGUGUAGCGGUGAAAUGCGUAGAUAUUAGGAGGAACACCAGUGGCGAAGGCGGUCUGCUGGACAGCAACUGACGCUGAGGCGCGAAAGCGUGGGGAGCAAACAGGAUUAGAUACCCUAGUAGUC
rnacentral:rRNA from 1 species